rnacentral:rRNA from 1 species
UACGUAGGGGGCUAGCGUUGUCCGGAAUCAUUGGGCGUAAAGCGCGUGUAGGCGGUCCGGUAAGUCCGCUGUGAAAGUCGGGGGCUCAACCCUCGAAAGCCGGUGGAUACUGUGAGACUUGAGUACGGAAGAGGAGAGUGGAAUUCCUGGUGUAGCGGUGAAAUGCGCAGAUAUCAGGAGGAACACCAACGGCGAAGGCAGCUCUCUGGGACGUUACUGACGCUGAGACGCGAAAGCGUGGGGAGCAAACAGG